rnacentral:rRNA from 1 species
AUUGAACGCUGGCGGCAUGCCUUCCACAUGCAAGUCGAACGGUAACAGGUCUUCGGAUGCUGACGAGUGGCGAACGGGUGAGUAAUACAUCGGAACGUGCCCGAGAGUGGGGGAUAACGAAGCGAAAGCUUUGCUAAUACCGCAUACGAUCUCAGGAUGAAAGCAGGGGACCGCAAGGCCUUGCGCUCACGGAGCGGCCGAUGGCAGAUUAGGUAGUUGGUGGGAUAAAAGCUUACCAAGCCGACGAUCUGUAGCUGGUCUGAGAGGACGACCAGCCACACUGGGACGGAGACACGGCCCAGACUCCUACGGGAGGCAGCAGUGGGGAAUUUUGGACAAUGGGCGCAAGCCUGAUCCAGCCAUGCCGCGUGCAGGAUGAAGGCCUUCGGGUUGUAAACUGCUUUUGUACGGAACGAAAAGACUCUGGUUAAUACCUGGGGUCCAUGACGGUACCGUAAGAAUAAGCACCGGCUAACUACGUGCCAGCCGCCGCAGUAA